GCAAAUGCUAAAUGAUAACCACUCACUCAAUGAUAACCAAACACCAGUUUGGAGUUGUUGUGGUUAUCACCAAUCAAGUAGUGGCACAAGUGGAUGGGUCUGCGAUGUUUGCUGGGCCACAAGUGGAUUCCUUGUAUACUGAAUUUGAAUCAUGAAGAUGAAGGAUAAGAAGAGGCGAUGUCUUCGACUGGUUGGAGAGCCAACCUGGGCGUCAAAGAAGAGGCGGCAGACCAAUGAGGCAGAUCACGGG